rnacentral:snRNA from 1 species
AUCGCUUCUCGGUCUUUUGGCUAAGAUCAAGUGUAGUAUCUGUUCUUAUCAGUUUAAUAAGGUGUGUGUAUGAGGAUGGGAAAGAUUGCCACAUUUAUUGCUGUUUCACUGAAACUUUCUAAAAUUGAGAAAAUUUUGUUUCCGAGUGAUGAGUGAAAAUAUC